rnacentral:rRNA from 1 species
AUUGAACGCUAGCGGGAUGCCUUACACAUGCAAGUCGAACGGAGUGGCGAACGGGUGAGUAAUGUAUCGGAACGUGCCCAGUAGCGGGGGAUAACUACGCGAAAGCGUAGCUAAUACCGCAUACUAUUGGAGCGGCCGAUAUCGGAUUAGCUAGUUGGGGGGGUAACGGCUCACCAAGGCGACGAUCCGUAGCUGGUUUGGGAGGAAGGUCCCCCACAUUGGAACUGAGACACGGUCCAAACUCCUACGGGAGGCAGCAGUGGGGAAUAUUGGACAAUGGGCGAAAGCCUGAUCCAGCCAUGCCGCGUGUGUGAAGAAGGCCUUCGGGUUGUAAAGCACUUUCAGCGGGGAGGCGUUACCCGCAGAAGAAGCACCGGCUAACUCCGUGCCAGCAGCCGCGGUAAUAC